UCGCUGCAGUCAGCUCCUUGGAGCGUUUGGUAAGGCCCUCGGUCUUACAUUUUGGAGGCCCCAGCGAGAUCCCUGGGCAGGAACCCCGGUUCAGCCAAGACUCUGUAGCAGGAUCCAGCAGGAGACUCUCAGGCACAGACCUCAGAAAACCUCCAGAGGUAAGAUUUUGUGGCCAGUUGCAACCGUUUGUUAAGUCAGGAGUGAGGUGGCUGACGAGCCAGGAAGCCUUCCCUGACCCCAAGGUCCCUGACGAGGAACAAGGGAAGAUUUAGUUUCACUUUUGUUGUGGCGCCUGUUUGUCAUUCCUUAGUGUCCUGUCCUUUGUGUGUUUAACCUUGUAUUUCUUUCUAAACCAUCAAGGGCAGAGAUGGGAGGAUCCUGCUUCAAGGUCACCCCAUUAGACUGUUUUCUUACUCAUUUUAAAUUGGCUUUUUCCCCUGAACAGGAGGACGAAUAUGGGGUUAAAUUUUCUCGUGGAAAACUUCGCUCCCUGUGUCAAUUGGAAUGGCAGCUUUUGGAGUUGGAUGGCCAGCAGAGGGCUCUUUUGACCCUAGCCUCUGUCGGGCUGUAUGGAAUAAGGUCACUGGUCACCCUAGUCAUCCUGAUCAAUUUCCUUAUAUAAAUAUUUGGGUCCAGGCUUGUCAGGAGCCUCCGGUUUGGUUGCAGCGUUGUUCCCUGUGAACAAACACUCACAUUCUGGUUAUGGCCCCAAGAGAACCCCGAGAGGCCAAAGCCCAGGCUCCCAAGCCAGUGCUCUCACAAGAUCCUGACCCCUUAGAUCUUGUCAUAAGACCUCCACCCUAUGUGGAGCCAUCCUCCUCCUCUGAAAAAGCCGGCCCUAAAUCUCGAAACCCUUUCUACCCUCCCUUUCCCAAAGAGAAAAAGUCUCCAGAUUCUGUAACCUCCCCUUCCCACACGUGAACUGGGGCCACUUAUGGUCCCAGCGGGGCUCCCACUGAAGGGACUGGUUCAGUUCCUCUUUUUCCUCUUCGGGAAAUAGAAUAGGGUCAUUAUUUCUAUAUUCCUUUCUCUACCAGUGACUUGUAUAAUUGGAAACAUCAAAAUCCCCCUUUUUUGGAAAAACCCCAGGCUUCGAUCUCCCUCCUAGAAUCUGUUUUUCAUACCCAUGACCCUACCUGGGAUGAUUGUCAACAACUUCUCCAAGCCCUUUUCACCUCUGAGGAGAGAGAAAGGAUCCAAGGGCAAGCCAUCAAGUCAGUGUUGGGAGGAACAGAGGGUCCACUUGAUGAGCAACAACGAGCCGGUAUUGAGGCACAACUUCCUUCCACCCAUCCCCCAUGGCAAGUUAAUUCCUCAGGUGGGAGAGAAGCUCUCCAAAACUACCAUCAGCAUCUCCUAGCCGUCUUGAGGGGAGCCGCUUGAAAGCCUACCAACUUGAGCAAGCCUGCCUCUAGCACCUGUGAGCCAGCCCCUCUUUGCCUUCGAAUGGACUGAUCCAGACACUGGAACUACUGAACAGCUGACAUGGACCCGGCUGCCACAAGGAUUCAAAAACUCCACCACUCUGUUUGGGGAAGCUCUCAGCAAAGAUUUACAAGAGAUGUUGCAGGAAACUAAGAUUGAUGGAAGAAGACUAACUAGCUGAAGGAGAAAAUUUCAGCUGGAACAAGAAGAAAGAUGCCUUGAGGGGUUCUCAGGAAUCAGCAAGAAACCACUCAUCACAGGUUCAAGGGUAUAAAAGUAUAAACCUUCAUUUCAGAAAAAGCCCUUGACCUCCCUAGAGAAGGGCCAUCUAGGGAAUUUUUGUUCAGAAUUCAUUUUAUUUUACUCAGUCAUCCAGGAACUCAGAGGCCAAUGAAGCCAUGAUUCAAUGGGGCCUAGCUAUUGAUAGAGCUGGCAACAGACUUUGGAAUUUUCCACAUGAUGGUUAUUUUGCAGGUAUGUGUAAUGUAAGAGUUGUCAGGUCAUGGGAUCUUGAACCAAUAUUUCAGAUAUUUCAAAGGCAAUAUGCUCUUGAGAUGAGAGUGUACAAAUUUAGGGUAAUAAACAUUAGAUUGGAUACUCUAAGAAUUCAUUAAUGCCAAGCACAAGGAACAUUGGUUGAGAAAAAUCACAGGCCAUGAAUGGAGCCACCCCAUCAAGGUAAUAGGGGUAGAGAUACCCAAGAACUCUGGAACUUACAUACUACCACCAUAAUUUCCUGAUAUCAGAUACAAAGCUACAGUAUGUAUUGUUUGCCUUGCUGGGUUUUGGUCUUGGUUAAUCCAAUUCUUUUCUGUGUCUAUAUUCCUUCCUUUUGUAAUGGGAAUAUUUAACCUGUACCACAGUAUGUUGGUAAUAUUUAAUAUUUUAAAAAUUUUACAGAGCAUCAUAGCUAACAAUAUUCCUUGAGUUUCAGAAGAGACUUUGACUUAGACUCUUAAACAAUGUUAGAAUUACUGACAUUGGGAAAGAGAUUAAUGUAGUUGAGUUAAACUCAGAAUAGGUACAUUAUGUUAGGUGGAAUUAUCAUGUACUUUCUGUAAUAGAAAUUUAAGUAUACUUUAAGGAUAUGUAUUCAACUGUAAAGUUAACAAGGGGUGGUAUGUGACAAUUCCAUGGAAUUUUCAACUUGAUUGGGUCAAAAGCUACGUAGGGAACAAGCCUAAAUUUAUCUCAGUGGGUGACAGAGGCAUGACUUUGGGUCUUUUAUCUAGUUCUUGGCUCCUCACCUUUAAUGUAUAAUUUAUUGCAAAAGCAAAAAUGACUAGAAAUUGACCUGAAAAAUAUUUGAAAUAUUUAAAGACGUACAUUUUAACCACUUCCAAUACCCAAAUUCCAGGAAAACUAUUCAAAUGAAAGUUUUUCUUUAUCUAAAAAGAUAAAGACAGCUUCCUUUUCACAGUAUGAAAAAUUAGGUUUUCCUUGGCAUUUGCCCUCCCAUAGCAUGUCUGUUUUUCUCUUUUAAAAAAUAAAAAAGCUGUAAGGAAAUGAAAGCUGUGCAUUGGUAUAUUGUCACCACAAAUGAAUUGAACUUGGCAUGAUAUCCUUCCACCUGUAUCCAAUUAUUAAGCCAAGGUAUUCUCUGCCAAUAUCCUAACUAUUAUACAUAACAGGUCUGUGAAGUGAUUCCUGCCCAACCUGCCUACUUUUUCAGGAAAAAAAAGAAAAGGGAAAGAAGAAUGUUAUAUAAUUAAGAGACAGCAGAGUGAAUGUGGGUAGUCAAUUGAAUUCUGGUCUGAUCGAGUACUCAAAGUGCAUAGUACCCACAGAUUGUAUUCAUUAUUAUGUUAUUAUCCUUAUUUAUCCUAUUCUACAACAAAAUGUAAUGUUGAGAAGAUCAUUUUAUAAUGUUUAUUGUUUAGAAUUCAUGUCUUCAGCUCCAAAUUAGUGAGUACCUACAAGAAGUUUUGUCAUUGAUCUAUUAACUGCUUAUUUCUUCCUCAUUCAUCAUAGAUAAUAUUAAAAAUACAGACUUUGUUCUUCAUGAUUCAGAAUUAUGAGAGUAAAUCAACUUCUUCACCUUCUGCUGUAUCUUUUAAUCUAAGUAAUGCUAUGAUAAAAGACAGGAAUUAAAAUGUAGUCUUACAUAAAUUCUGCAUUUAAAGUUCCUUUGAUUUGUUUUUAUGCAUUAGAAUAUUAAUAUGUAUUUUAAUUGCCUUUAAUUUAAUGCAUAUUUCUAUAAUUAUUUGAGAUAUAAUUAUUUCUGUAAAUAUUUGAGAUAUUUUAUUAAUAUCAUUUUGCUCAUUAAAAUUAAUCUUCUUUUUGUA